rnacentral:sRNA from 1 species
GAAAAGUCUAAAGCAUGUCUUUCUUGGC